UUGCUUUGGCAGCACAUAUACUAAAAUUGGAAUUAUACAGAGAUUAGCAUGGCCCCUGCGCAGGGAUGGCACACAAAUUUGUGAAGCAUUCCAUAUUUUU
rnacentral:snRNA from 1 species